CCUACGGGAGGCAGCAGUCGAGAAUCAUUCACAAUGGGGGAAACCCUGAUGGUGCGACGCCGCGUGGGGGAAUGAAGGUCUUCGGAUUGUAAACCCCUGUCAUGUGGGAGCAAAUUAAAAAGAUAGUACCACAAGAGGAAGAGAUGGCUAACUCUGUGCCAGCAGCCGCGGUAAUACAGAGGUCUCAAGCGUUGUUCGGAAUCACUGGGCGUAAAGCGUGCGUAGGCUGUUUCGUAAGUCGUGUGUGAAAGGCGCGGGCUCAACCCGCGGACGGCACAUGAUACUGCGAGACUAGAGUAAGGGAGGGGGAACCGGAAUUCGCGGUGUAGCAGUGAAAUGCGUAGAUAUCGAGAGGAACACUCGUGGCGAAGGCGGGUUCCUGGACAUUAACUGACGCUGAGGCACGAAGGCCAGGGGAGCGAAAGGGAUUAGAUACCCCUGUAGUC
rnacentral:rRNA from 1 species